UAGGGAAUCUUCCACAAUGGACGCAAGUCUGAUGGAGCAACGCCGCGUGAGUGAAGAAGGUCUUCGGAUCGUAAAGCUCUGUUGUUGGUGAAGAAGGAUAGAGGCAGUAACUGGUCUUUAUUUGACGGUAAUCAACCAGAAAGUCACGGCUAACUACGUGCCAGCAGCCGCGGUAAUACGUAGGUGGCAAGCGUUGUCCGGAUUUAUUGGGCGUAAAGCGAGCGCAGGCGGAAUGAUAAGUCUGAUGUGAAAGCCCACGGCUCAACCGUGGAACUGCAUCGGAAACUGUCAUUCUUGAGUGCAGAAGAGGAGAGUGGAACUCCAUGUGUAGCGGUGGAAUGCGUAGAUAUAUGGAAGAACACCAGUGGCGAAGGCGGCUCCCUGGUCUGCAACUGACGCUGAGGCUCGAAAGCAUGGGUAGCGAACAGGAUUAGAUACCCUGGUAGUCCAUGCCGUAAACGAUGAGCGCUAGGUGUUGGGGGACUUUCCG
rnacentral:rRNA from 1 species